AUGAGGCACUUUUGUUCGAACUUCUAUAGGGCAUGUGGCCUUAAGGAGGUGGCCGAUGAUCUUCAAGAUUGUUGUCUCGCUUUCUCCGAUAAGCGCUUCGCCACUUUGUACAACAAAUUGCUCGCACACAAAAAACUUGAUCCCGGGGGUCAAGACUUUCUCAAUAGGCACAUUCAAUACCGGAACAAGUGGGCAUGUGCUUUUGAUGAAGAUGGCCGGAGAUACGGUCAAAUGACAAGCAAUAUGGCCGAAUGCUUCAAUAGGGUGCUCAAAGGUGCACGUGGAUUACCCGUGACGGCAAUAGUUCAAUACACAUUUGACAAGAUGAAUGCGUACUUUGUAAAGUACUCGAUGGAAACC
rnacentral:rRNA from 1 species